GGUAUGAGGAUGUGAUCAGACUGACUGAGGACUACAGAGGAACAACAAGCUGCUGCUGCUUCUUCUUCCAGAAGUUUCUUCAGUCCAUGAAUCCUGAAAGUGUGUGACGGUGGAGCAGCAGUGAGUUGAACAGUCGAAGCUGCUGGUUCAAAUCUGAUGGAUGAAGAUGGAUUCCUCUGAGGAGCAGAGGACAAAAGCUGAAUCUUCAGCUUCCAGCUGUGUGUCCAUGAGGAGCGACCAGUCCAAAAAUAACAAUCCCUUCUUAAGGGAUGAAGAUGAAAAGCAAAGAGGUCAGCAGAUCACACAAAGAGUCCAGUGUACAGUUUCCAUCUGUGUGUCCAUGAAGAGUGAUCAGUCCAAAAAGAACAAUCCAUUCUUGAGAGAUGAAGAGGAACAGCAAAGGUGAGAACGUUUUUAUGACCCUGACCUGAGAUAAGGCAACAGCUUAAGCAAUACUGUGACUUUCACAACUAUUGGUGCAUAACAGUUGUUUGAUUCUAGACAAGUUAAUACAUUAUGUCUUAACAGUACCAAAGUGGGAAACAUUAUACAAGAUUUGGAUGUAAAUUCUGUUUUGUUUUUAUGUUUUUUUGCUCAAACUUCUCUGACUUCUAUCAACCUUUGAUUUUCUGACAGUUUCUGCUACUUCUAGCCUCAUCUGUAAAUCAAAAAUUUUCAAUGAUUUUUGGACACACUACUUCCUCUCCAAACAGUCCUUCAGAAACC